UACGUAGGGCGCAAGCGUUGUCCGGAAUUAUUGGGCGUAAAGAGCUCGUAGGCGGCUUGUCACGUCGGAUGUGAAAGCCCGAGGCUUAACCUCGGGUCUGCAGCCGAUACGGGCAGGCUAGAGUUCGGUAGGGGAGACUGGAAUUCCUGGUGUAGCGGUGAAAUGCGCAGAUAUCAGGAGGAACACCGAUGGCGAAGGCAGGUCUCUGGGCCGAUACUGACGUUGAGGAGCGAAAGCGUGGGGAGCGAACAGG
rnacentral:rRNA from 1 species